rnacentral:rRNA from 1 species
AGCAGCCGCGGUAAUUCCAGCUCCAAUAGCGUAUAUUAAAGUUGUUGCAGUUAAAAAGCUCGUAGUUGAAUUUCGGGAUUGACACAUCGGUCGUGCCUUAAGGGGUAUGAACUGGUGUAGUCAAUUUCUCACCUUCUGGAGAACCGCGAUGCCCUUAAUUGGGUGUCGCGGGGAACCAGGACCUUUACUUUGAAAAAAUUAGAGUGUUUAAAGCAGGCAUUUUGCUUGAAUACAUUAGCAUGGAAUAAUAAAAUAGGACGGCAUGAUUCUAUUUUGUUGGUUUCUAGGAUCACCGUAAUGAUUAAUAGGGAUAGUUGGGGGCAUUAGUAUUCAAUUGUCAGAGGUGAAAUUCUUGGAUUUAUUGAAGACUAACUACUGCGAAAGCAUUUGCCAAGGAUGUUUUCAUUAAUCAAGAACGAAAGUUAGGGAUCGAAGACGAUCAGAUACCGUGUAGUCUUAACCAUAAACUAUGCCGACUAGGGAUCGGAUGAUGUUUUAAUUUUUAUGUACUCUAUUCGGC